GUGGGGUGACUGCGUACCUUUUGUAUAAUGGGUCAGCGACUUAUAUUCUGUAGCAAGGUUAACCGUAUAGGGGAGCCGCAGGGAAACCGAGUCUUAACCGGGCGUUAAGUUGCAGGGUAUAGACCCGAAACCCGGUGAUCUAGCCAUGGGCAGGUUGAAGGUUGGGUAACACUAACUGGAGGACCGAACCGACUAAUGUUGAAAAAUUAGCGGAUGACCUGUGGCUGGGGGUGAAAGGCCAAUCAAACCGGGAGAUAGCUGGUUCUCCCCGAAAGCUAUUUAGGUAGCGCCUCGUGAACUCAUCUCCGGGGGUAGAGCACUGUUUCGGCUAGGGGGCCAUCCCGGCUUACCAACCCGAUGCAAACUGCGAAUACCGGAGAAUGUUAUCACGGGAGACACACGGCGGGUGCUAACGUCCGUCGUGAAGAGGGAAACAACCCAGACCGCCAGCUAAGGUCCCAAAGUCAUGGUUAAGUGGGAAACGAUGUGGGAAGGCCCAGACAGCCAGGAUGUUGGCUUAGAAGCAGCCAUCAUUUAAAGAAAGCGUAAUAGCUCACUGGUCGAGUCGGCCUGCGCGGAAGAUGUAACGGGGCUAAACCAUGCACCGAAGCUGCGGCAGCGAACGUAUCACCCAAGACAACUUUACGGAGUUGACGAUUGACGGAGCGAAGCGACGUCAAAGCGUUCAUUAAAGUCGAGUUGGCUUAGGGAUACGUUCGUUGGGUAGGGGAGCGUUCUGUAAGCCUGCGAAGGUGGCCUGUGAGGGUUGCUGGAGGUAUCAGAAGUGCGAAUGCUGACAUAAGUAACGAUAAAGCGGGUGAAAAGCCCGCUCGCCGGAAGACCAAGGGUUCCUGUCCAACGUUAAUCGGGGCAGGGUGAGUCGACCCCUAAGGCGAGGCCGAAAGGCGUAGUCGAUGGGAAACGGGUUAAUAUUCCCGUACUUGGUGUUACUGCGAAGGGGGGACGGAGAAGGCUAUGUUGGCCGGGCGACGGUUGUCCCGGUUUAAGCGUGUAGGUGUGUGUUCCAGGUAAAUCCGGUUCACUUUAACACUGAGGCGUGACGACGAGGCACUACGGUGCUGAAGCAACAAAUGCCCUGCUUCCAGGAAAAGCCUCUAAGCAUCAGGUAACAUCAAAUCGUACCCCAAACCGACACAGGUGGUCAGGUAGAGAAUACCAAGGCGCUUGAGAGAACUCGGGUGAAGGAACUAGGCAAAAUGGUGCCGUAACUUCGGGAGAAGGCACGCUGACACGUAGGUGAAGUGAUUUACUCAUGGAGCUGAAGUCAGUCGAAGAUACCAGCUGGCUGCAACUGUUUAUUAAAAACACAGCACUGUGCAAACACGAAAGUGGACGUAUACGGUGUGACGCCUGCCCGGUGCCGGAAGGUUAAUUGAUGGGGUCAGCGCAAGCGAAGCUCCUGAUCGAAGCCCCGGUAAACGGCGGCCGUAACUAUAACGGUCCUAAGGUAGCGAAAUUCCUUGUCGGGUAAGUUCCGACCUGCACGAAUGGCGUAAUGAUGGCCAGGCUGUCUCCACCCGAGACUCAGUGAAAUUGAACUCGCUGUGAAGAUGCAGUGUACCCGCGGCAAGACGGAAAGACCCCGUGAACCUUUACUAUAGCUUGACACUGAACAUUGAGCCUUGAUGUGUAG
rnacentral:rRNA from 1 species